GCACACACGGUAUAUAGAUCUUUCUAUUGUGUUAUUGACUGUACAUUUGUUUAUCCCAUGUGUAACUGUGUUGUUGUUUUUGUUGCACUGCUUUGCUUUAUCUUGGUCAGGUCGCAGUUGUAAAUGUUCUCAACUGGCCUACCUGGUUAAAUAAAGGUGAAAUAAAAAAGAAAAUUAAAAAAGCAAUGUGUUAGAAGAAGCCGACAUAACCAACCCAUAAAGUAAAAUUUAACAUCCAUAUAUGGCCAGCGAAGUCAACUUUAACAUUGAUUUAUCCUGUAAUAGAUGUUGUUCAAUUGGUAACAUACAUUGUUGUCUUCUAAUGCCUCUUAAUAAGGGGAAAGUCAUCUAAAAGUAACUUAAUGUAAUCAGAUUACGUUACUGAGUUUGGGUAAUCCAAAAGUUACGUUACUUAUUACAAAUUUGGACAGGUAACUAGUAACUAUAACGGAUUACAUUUAGAAAGUAACAUACCCAACCCUGCACAUAUCAGUUUGCAAACAAUGUAAAAAAAUAUAUAAUUGAGUAAAUAAAGCCAAAUACAAACAUGGUCUCUUUUUUGCUUUCUUAAGUAAAGCAGCUCCAAAAUGCAGGUGUUUCGGUCUAGCUCAGUGCUUUCCGUGGUGGUGGGUCAGCCAGCGGAAAAUAGGGGUUGGUAAUGUUCUCUAGUUGCACCAUGAUUGGCUCAGUGUUCUGUCAUGGGAACACUACGUCAACGCAAAUUCUACAGGUAGUCCAUUGGGUGCUGCCAUAGAGUUACAUUAGAAGUGCCCAUCCAAGAAGGCUCAAGGUCAUUGGCCACAGAUAAAAUCACGUCAAGUCACGUUAUAUCUACUGUAGCUUUGAUUGAACUGAUCAUGUCAACGUCAUACUUUCAAAAUCUUAAGGUCUUCAUCAUGAAUCAAGACGACAAUCUACUGGCAAAUCCUUUUCCAUCCUAAAGUCUGGGUUUAAGGGUCUCUUUUCCAGACUUAAAGGAUAAACAUUCAGCAUAAUGGGCCAGAAAAGGUUGAUGACAUUUGCCAUUCUGGCGUGUUCAAAACAACUGGAAACUCGGAACUGGGAAAUAUUAGACUUCAGUGAGCUCAAGACAACUAGGGAACUCUGAAAAAAAACGAGCUACAACUGGGAAAAUACGUUUUGAAUGGUCAUCCAACUCGGAAUUCCAAGUCGGGUCUGAUCCUGAAGAUCACUGUCGUCAUGAUUCAACCCGUUUUUUUCCCCCAGAGUUCCCAGUUGUCUUGAAAGCACCAUAAAUCCAGAGAAUUCCAGACUUUAAUGACAAAGUUUGAUGACAAAAUUUUCCCACAAAGGACAGCCGCACCACCUUCCUGUUCAAGUAAGCACAGCACAACAAGGUGAGUCCAAAAAUGUAUUGUAUGCUGCUGCAUAAAUGAUGUAUUAUGCCAGGGAGAUAUGUAUACUGUAGCUAAGAAAGUAAUACUAAGUGUAUGUUGUGUAGUAAGCUGUUAGUAGCCCAUGUGCCUCACCCUAAUAAUAUGGUCCCUUUCCCACUCCUAACUUAGCCUAAUGUUCUGACUUGGUGAUGCACAUGUAGCCUAUAGCCUGUUUUAGAGAAAUGUCAUCAUCGAAUAUUGUAAGAGCUUUCAUUGUCUGCUUAUAUUCCCCCUUUAUUUAUCCUACGGUUCUGACUUGGUGUACUGGGAGAUUACUGUAAGAAUGGCCCAUGUUCUGAAUUCUGUCGCUGCACAUUUCAAAAGUGCUGAACAAAUAGUUAUAUUGACUACGUCCGUCCUAGCAUGCUCAUUAAUGUCUUAAUCAAACUGACUGAUUGCCUCUUAUCCGCUCGUCGUCCCCAUAUGCCAUAGUUUGUACAUCUCAAUUGUCAGUAGAAACCACAUUUGUUUAAGCAAGUCAGCCAUAUCAGCUAUGUUUUUUUAAAGGCAGUAAAUGAGGCUGAAUGAACUGUUUGAUGAUAACCAGGUGUAGCAGUGGCUAAAAAGAAGGCCCUAACAGUUUGUGAGCACCGUUUGUCACCGUUAUAGUGCAAUUAAUGUAUCGUUUAAUGUUGUGUUGUGUAGUGGCUUUGCUGGAAGGCAUCUAAAACUAUUUUUGCAGUUUGCCCCACCAAGAUUUGCAUGCUAAAAUCGCCACUGUAUGGAUGGUUCAGGGGGUCAAGCUACGAAAAUGUGUUAAUGGCGUGAUUUUUUUUACAGCAUUAAAAAUGUAAGCAUUAAACGCGUUAUUAAUGCGUUAACUUUGACAGCCCUAGUUUAAAACUAUGACAAGAGAGACUGUCAACAAAUACAACAAAGAGAUGCUGUUUUUAUGAGUGAGUUAAUGUUUAAAGUUCUUACUCAGUACUGUCAACAUGUCAUAAGCGUCGUAAGGGACAGAUCAAGGCGCAGAGGGUAUAGUGCUCAUCUUCUUUCUUUAUUUAGAGUGAACACUCAAACAAAAUAAACAAACGACCAAACAGUUCCGUAAGGCACAGGCUAUACAGAAAACAACCACCCACAAACCCAAAGGAAAAAAGGGAUGCCUAAGUAUGGCUUCCAAUCAGAGACAACGAAAGACACCUGCCUCUGAUUGGAAACCAUACUCGGCCACACAUAGAAAACGAACAUAGAAAAUGAAAACUAGAACAAAUCCCCUCUAAAUAAACCAACCCCAAAACACACAAAAACAACACCCCUGCCACGACCCCUUUACUGGUCAGGAUGUGACAGUACCCCCCCCCCCCAAAUGUGCAGACCCCGACUGCACCUCAAAACAAAAAAAACAACAAAAAAAACACAACCUAAAGGGAGGGAACGGAGGGUGGCCACCGCCAAUGACGGUUCCUGUGCUACCCCCCCCUUCGCCAAUCCUCCCACUACGGAGGUGGCUCUGGCUCUGGGCGUAGCUCCCGUUCUGAAGACUCUGGGCUGCAGACCACCGCUGAAGGCUCUUGGCUGCAGACCACCGCUGAAGGCCCUUGGCUGCAGACCACCGCUGAAGGCCCCGGGCUGAGAGGCGUCGCUGGAGGCCCCGGGCUGAGAGGCGUCGCUGGAGGCCCCGGGCUGAGAGGCGUCGCUGGAGGCCCCGGGCUGAGAGGCGUCGCUGGAGGCCCCGGGCUGAGAGGCGUCGCUGGAGGCCCCGGGCUGAGGGGCGUCGCUGGAGGCCCCGGGCUGAGGGGCGUCGCUAGAGGCUCCUGACUGGGGAGCGUCGCUGAAGGCUCCGGGCUGAGGAGCGUCGCUGGAGGCUCCUGACUGGGGAGCGUCGCUGGAGGCUCCUGACUGGGGAGCGUCGCUGGAGGCUCCUGACUGGGGAGCGUCGCUGGAGGCUCCGGGCUGAGGAGCGUCACUGGAGGCCUCCUGCGUGGAGCUGGGACCGGUCUCCCCGGACUGGGGAGACUUACAGGAGACUGGGUGCGCAGCGCAGGCACGGGGCACAUUGGGCCGUGGAGGUGAACCGGCGGUCUGGAGCUCAGGGCUGGCACACCCCGUCCUGGCUGAAUGGUCACUGUAGCCCGGCACGGGCGGAGCGCUGGCACAGGGCGAACUGGGCUGUGCUGGAGAGUGAGGGCUGCCGUGCGUAGAGCAGGCGCAGGGUAAGCUGGACCGAGGAGACGUACUGGUGGCCAGAUGCGCUGCGCCGGCGCACUUCUCCCUGGCUGCCGGCCAACUCUCGCCCGGCAACGCUGCGGAGCCCACACUGACCGCACCGGACUGUGCGUGCGUGUGGGCGAUACCAUGCGCAUUUCCGCAUAGCUCGGCGCUCUCCUCGUCACCCGCUCCCCACGGUAAGCACGGGGAGUUGGCUCAGGACUCCACCCUGACUCUGCCCAACUCCCCGUGUUGGGCAGAGUGCCUCUCGCACUUGCCUCUUGGCUUAUACAGCGCCUCAUAGUAGCGCCGCUCUGCCUUCGCUGCCUCCAGUUCCUCCUUCGGUCGACGAUACUCUCCAGCCUGCCUCCAGGGUCCUUUCCCGUCUAAAAUCUCCUCCCAUGUCCACGACUCCAAAUACUUCUCCUGCUCCUUACCCCGCUGUUUGGUCUUCUUUCGGUGGGUGGUUCUGUCAUAUAAUAAAAAGGGAAUUAUUUGUAUGCUUACUCAGCUGUGCUUCACAAGUAAUACAACAACGGAUCUAUUACCGGUGUGAUCAUAUAGCCAGGUUUUCUCCAGAUGUUACGCUUGGUAUUCAGGCCAAAGAGUUCCAUCUUCAUUUCAUCAGACCAGAGAAUGGUCUGAGAGUCCUUUAGGUGCCUUUUGGCUAACUCCAAGCGGGCUGUCAAGUGCCUUUUACUGAGGAGUGGCUUCCUUCUGGCCACUCUACCAUACAGGCCUGAUUGGUGGAGUGCUGCAAAGGUGGUUGUCUUACUGGAAGGUUCUCCCAUCCCCACAGAGGAACACUGGAGCUCUGUCAGAGUGACCAUCGGGUUCUUGGUCACCUCCAUGAUCAAGGCCCUUCUACCCCGAUUGCUCAGUUUUGCUGGCAGUCAGCUCUGGGAAGAGUCUUGGUGGUUCCAAACUUCUUCCAUUUAAGCAUGAUGGAAGCCACUGUGUUCUUGGGAACCUUCAAUACUUCAGAAAUGUUUUGCUAAACUUCCCCAGAUCUGUGCCUCGACACAAUCCAGUCUCGGAGCUCUACGGACAAUUUCCUCGACCUCAUGGCUUGGUUUUUGCCCUGACAAGCACCUUCAACUGUGUGACAUUCUAUAGACAGGUUUGUGCCUUUCCAAAUAAUGUCCAAUAAAUUGAAUUUAUCCCAGGUGGACUCCAAUCAAGUUCUCAAAACACCUCAAUGAUGAUCAAUGGACCUGAAUACUUGUGUAAAUUAGGUAUCUGUUUUUUAUUUUUAAUACAUUUGCAAACAUUCUAAAAACCUAUUUUUGCUUUGUCAUUAUGGGUAUUGUGUGUAGAUUGAUGAGGAUUUUUUAUUUAUUUAAUCCAUUUUAGAAUAAGGCUGUAAUGUAACAAAAAUGUGUAAAAAGGGAAGGGGUCUGAAUACUUUCCAAAUGCACUGUAUAUCCUAUAAUUAAUUACAUUGUUUCCAAUUGGCCUAGUUAUCUCUCUCUCAUGUCAUUCAUGAGGUAAUCUCAGUGUAAACUAGUAUGUCAUGUCUACCCAUUUUGUAGAAUAAUUGAUGACAUCUUGACAUCUUUAUGAAUUCAUGAAUUUAUGCUGUACCCCUUAGGGCAGGGAUCAUCAACUAGAUUCAGCCGCGGGCCGAUCUUUUCUUGAGAGGAAGGUCGGGGGGCCGGAUCAUAAUUACAAAUCAUUUGUAGCCUGCAAAUUGAAUGCAAGAAGCACAAACAGAUAUAAUAUUUGACUAAAACGUAAUAAUUUGAAACCUUUGCAUAUGAUCACGUGUCUCUAUUAUAGGUGGAAAUACUUGGGAACAGAUUUCCCAAAUUAAAAUCACUUGGAGCUGAUUUCCUGUUUUUUUUACAGUUUAUGUGCAACAAUGGGAAAAAAUGUAUUUUUUUAUGGCUCAGAAAACUUGGGGGCGCAAAUAAAACAACCAGUUGGGGAACCCUGCCUUAGGAGGUUUUCUGAUCAGCUUACACCGCGUAAUUUUUAAGAGACAAAUGCCUGCUGUAGUUGAAAGAGGAAACUGAAGGUAUUUCAGGAUGUGAAAGGUUAUAGCUGACUGAGCACUCAGUGAGGUCUCACGUAAUGACUCAGGUCAUUUACCCUGUUCUAACUUUUUUUACCUUUAACUAGGUAAGUCAGUUAAGAACAAAUUCUUAUUUACAACGACGGCCUACCUUAAUGGACAGACAGACAACAAUUUUCUUUUCUCAAGUGUAUUUUCAAGUUUGUUGCAAUUUUUUGUGCAUUUAAACAAAUACAUUGAAAAACAAGCAUCUUGAAAACUGCUCUAGUCUGCCUCUAGUCAUUUCCCUCAUACAUUAAUGGAUGGCCUUGAGAUAUUCCUGCAUUAGCAGGAACUUGCAUUAGCAGGCACUUACAAAUCUACAUUUUGCUUUGUGUAUAUUCAGCAAACAUUUUGUAACAUUUUGUAACACCCACCAAAUCCUGUUCAACAUUCACUCCCUCAAAUUUCCCACCCCAAAAUACUUUCAGUUUCUCCUCUUUCUUCCUGAGAACAAUAUCUUUAAAUACAUCAAAAACUUUGAUACAGUUUUUUACUUGGACAACAUUGCAGUUGGCCAAGCCUAUAAUCUACUGUAAAACACAAUGACAGCACAUUGGGCUGUGGUCUGUCUACAAUAUCUGGAUCAUCUAAAGGAAAAUAAAAAGCAUGGAGUACUACAUAAGGCAUCGCCUGGAAUAAUGUCCUAUCACUGAAGCCAUGACCCAAUGGAGAUCCUUGCUAUUUCUGGUCUCAGAAGAAGAGGUGACAGAAUGCUGGAAUGUGACCUACAGCUUCCUGAGGAGUGUGGACUGGGACUCUGCCAAUGCAGAGGGGAGAGAAAUGCUUCCCACUAGGCUGUCAAAUGUCCCUGGUGGUGUGACUAAUGUUAAGGUGUCUGUAUGAAGAGAUGCAUACUUCCUCCUGGGUUGUGAUUAAAGUAUGGGACUCGUGUUAAUGAGUGUUAGCGCUGUGACCAUUUUUUCUUUGUCUGAAGAAAGACAAUUCCCCUGUGCAACGCUCAAGAGACAUCUCUAGUUACGGUACCACCAUGGCAGUCAGGCCUAUUCUAUAUGUCAGUGGGUCAUCAUAACUAAUUAUCUGAAUACAGUGCAAUUGAGCGGACACCAUGACAAUCCAAACUCAAACCAUAUCCGUUCCAGAGCCACAACUCAUCACCAUCUUCCCUGUCUAUCUACUCUGACCUACCAGUCCGCACCUUCCCUGAGGUGCGUUGGAAAGGUGCAUCUUUGCUAUGGGUGUAUGCCGUGCGCCUACAGGGCUCUACUAUGGAGGCCUGUGUCUCUCUCACGUCAGGGCUAGGCACGGAGCAGAGGAGUCAUUUCCAUUUCCUCCCACUUGGCUAAUUACAGUCUGCCUGCUCUGCCAGCCAUUCUUCUUCCCUCUCAUGUCAUAACAGAAACCUGUGCAGUGGAAAACCCCUGAUUACCCUGCAUAGAUUAGAUAGAGGCGUUAAUACAGUAAGUCAAGCCUCGCAGGGUGGUAUAUGUUUUAACAGAGGGAGAAGCGUCGGGAGUUGAUGUUCAUCUUGGUGAGGCCAAGGUGUUUGAGGGGGGUGGAGAGGGCGAAGGCAGCCUUCAUGGGGAUGUCACAGAGCAGGUCAGACUCCUCGCCACACUCCUCCAGCUCGUAGGUGGCGUCGUCCAGCAUCUCCUUGUGGCGGUGACACACCUGCUCCACCUUCAGCCGGUGGAUCUCCACACGCAGGCGGAUCAGCUGGCGCGCUAGACGGUUAUCCUGGAACCGCAUCUCCCUCUGAGGAUGACGAGGAAGGGAAAGAGAGAGGGAAGAGAUUAGCAAUC
rnacentral:lncRNA from 1 species